rnacentral:rRNA from 1 species
GAUGAACGCUGGCGGCGUGCCUAAUACAUGCAAGUCGAGCGAACAGACGAGGAGCUUGCUCCUCUGACGUUAGCGGCGGACGGGUGAGUAACACGUGGAUAACCUACCUAUAAGACUGGGAUAACUUCGGGAAACCGGAGCUAAUACCGGAUAAUAUAUUGAACCGCAUGGUUCAAUAGUGAAAGACGGUUUUGCUGUCACUUAUAGAUGGAUCCGCGCCGCAUUAGCUAGUUGGUAAGGUAACGGCUUACCAAGGCAACGGUGCGUAGCCGACCUGAGAGGGUGAUCGGCCACACUGGAACUGAGACACGGUCCAAACUCCUACGGGAGGCAGCAGUAGGGAAUCUUCCGCAAUGGGCGAAAGCCUGACGGAGCAACGCCGCGUGAGUGAUGAAGGUCUUCGGAUCGUAAAACUCUGUUAUUAGGGAAGAACAAAUGUGUAAGUAACUAUGCACGUCUUGACGGUACCUAAUCAGAAAGCCACGGCUAACUACGUG